rnacentral:rRNA from 1 species
GCCUAACACAUGCAAGCCGAGCGGUAGAGAUUCUUCGGAAUUUUGAGAGCGGCGCACGGGUGCGGAACACGUGUGCAACCUGCCUUUAUCUGGGGGAUAGCCUUUCGAAAGGAAGAUUAAUACCCCAUAAUAUAUUGAGUGGCAUCAUUUGAUAUUGAAAACUCCGGUGGAUAGAGAUGGGCACGCGCAAGAUUAGAUAGUUGGUGAGGUAACGGCUCACCAAGUCAAUGAUCUUUAGGGGGCCUGAGAGGGUGAUCCCCCACACUGGUACUGAGACACGGACCAGACUCCUACGGGAGGCAGCAGUGAGGAAUAUUGGACAAUGGGUGAGAGCCUGAUCCAGCCAUCCCGCGUGAAGGACGACUGCCCUAUGGGUUGUAAACUUCUUUUAUACUGGGAUAAACCUACCCUCGUGAGGGUAGCUGAAGGUACAGUAUGAAUAAGCACCGGCUAACUCCGUGCCAGCAGCCGCGGUAAUACGGAGGGUGCAAGCGUUAUCCGGAUUUAUUGGGUUUAAAGGGUCCGUAGGCGGACUCGUAAGUCAGUGGUGAAAUCUCAUAGCUUAACUAUGAAACUGCCAUUGAUACUGCGGGUCUUGAGUAAAGUAGAAGUGGCUGGAAUAAGUAGUGUAGCGGUGAAAUGCAUAGAUAUUACUUAGAACACCAAUUGCGAAGGCAGGUCACUAUGUUUUAACUGACGCUGAUGGACGAAAGCGUGGGGAGCGAACAGGAUUAGAUACCCUGGUAGUCCACGCCGUAAACGAUGCUAACUCGUUUUUGGGUUUUCGGAUUCAGAGACUAAGCGAAAGUGAUAAGUUAGCCACCUGGGG